GAGAACCCUGUCUGAAAUCCUGGGGAGCCACUGCCAGGCUAGAAGAUGAACUAGAUGGACUAAUGAUCUGUUUCAACAUUUUCUGAAAAUUGGGAAAGACUACAGCCCUUGGCUAAUGUACGUGACCCCUUCUUCAUGGUCAGACUGUGAUCCUCGAAAAUGGAGUAACAGAGUAAUCCUAACUAUGGAAAGCCACCGAAUGCCAGUAGUAGCAACAGUUUACCUUGCCAAGUCCAACUGGAGACUAAGAAUUGUCUAGGUCAUAAAAGUGGAAUCUGAGGAUGAACCUCAAAGAGAACCAGUUCAUCAGACAUUAAGACAGCCCCCACCUCUGUGCCUUAUACAUGCAUGAACACAUAAGAGGGGUCCUGCUCAACAAGGCCAACAGUCCAUCUAAACCAACAUCUUGUUCCUCAUAAUGGCCAACCAAAUGCCUCUGGAAAGCCCACAAAGAAGACAGGAAGCAAUAGUCCUCACAUAUGCUCCCCAGCAUGCUGCCUCUGAACCUAGAGAUUGCUUAUAACCAUUGUGACUAGUAACCACUGAUAGAAUUGCUUUCUUCCAUGAAUCCAUGGUUCGCAGAGUCCCCAGAUAUUCUUGGAGUAUGACUUCCAUUGUUCUGAGCCAGCAUAGCCAGUGGUCAGACAUGAUGGGAAUUCUAGCCCAACAUAAUCUGGAGUCCCAAGGAUGAAGAAUACUGAUCUACUACCCUUUUAAAGCCAUCUACGCUAAUGGCCACCACAUCUUGUGAAAGUGAAAUCCAUAAAUUAAUUAUACACUAUGUCCUUUUGCCUGUCCUAUAGCUCUUGUCAAUCAGUUUCAUUGGAUGAUCCCAAUUUAUGGAAUUAUCAGAGGAGAAAAAAAAUAGACUUUGGGUUGUAUUCAACAUAGUGCUAACACAAAUGUUCCAUCAACGCAAUGAUUUCUCCUUGUGCAAUGGAAUGUUCUCCCCCUCUCCUCCCCCUAAAUCUGUUCUGGGGAUUCUCCCAACCUUCUAGAGCAUAUCUGGGGAUGCAAGGGGAGAGGAGGCAGGGAAGACCCAUUGUGAAAGCAGAAGUCAUUCCGCUCAUGCAAUUAUUUUGCUGACCAUCACCUUUUCUCCAUGCCUUUUUAAAUGUUAUAACCCUCUAUCAUGUCUCCCCAUAGUCACCUUCCCCGUCCCCCUAUCUCCAAAUGUUCUAGCCUUUCCCCAUAUGGAUCUUAGCCUGACAAAAGAUCCAUGCUGGUAUCUAAUACCUCAAGAAAUAAUCCCACUACCUCCCAUUUGGAUGAGAGUAGCUUUCUCCAUGAGAAACACUGUAAGGUUGACCUUCUCCAGCCUACCUACACCAUAUCGCUUUUUGUUGUUAACUCCACGGAUGUCAAGAGCGUCAUUGUUGUGCAUAACAGCUCCUGUUACUUGGUAACAUUUCCAAAUAUCAUAGGAGAGAGUCAAAAUGACAUAAAACUGAAAUUCAACACCAUUUAAACAGCAAAAAAGCUACAUAAGGGAAUGAAAAAUACAGAACAGGCUGUUGUAAUGCACUUGUCAUCAAACCACCCACUUCCUUUUCAUAACCACUCUAUACACCUGUGCAUAUAGAAAUACCCUGUGGCACUCAACGCUUUAUUUUAUUUUAAAGGCUGUGCAGA